rnacentral:tRNA from 2 species
GGCUAGCUCAAUCGGUAGAGCGUGAGACUCUUAAUCUCAAGGUUGUGGGUUCGACCCGUAAGCUC